rnacentral:rRNA from 1 species
GAACACCAAAGGCGAAGGCAUUGCACUGGGCUGGUACUGACCCUGAGAGACGAAAGCGUGGGGAGCAAAACGGAUUAGAUACCCGUGUAGUCCACGCCGUAAACGAUGGAUACUAGAUGUUCGGGGAUUCGACCCCCUGGGUGUCACAGCUGACGCGUUAAGUAUCCCGCCUGGGAAGUACGGCCGCAAGGCUAAAACUCAAAGGAAUAGACGGGGAUCCGCACAAGCGGUGGAGCGUCUGGUUUAAUUUGAUAGUAAGCAAUGGACCUCACCAAGGUUUGACAUCCUAUGACAACCCUGGAAACAGGGCUUCCUUCGGGCAUAGUGACAGGUGCUGCAUGGUCGUCGUCAGUUCGUGCCGUGAGGUGUUCCGUUAAGUCGGGAAACGAACGAAACCCUCGUCGCAUGUUACAAAUUUCAUGCGAGACUGCCCGGGUCAACCGGGGGGAAGGCGGGGAUGACGUCAGAUCAGCAUGGCCCUUAUACCUUGGGCUACACAGGCGCUACAAUGGCCGGUACAAAGGGUUGCAAAACCGCGAGGUGAAGCUAAUCCCAUAAAGCCGGUCCAAGUUCGGAUUGGAGGCUGCAACUCGCCUCCAUGAAGUUGGAAUCGCUAGUAAUCGUGGAUCAGCCAUACCACGGUGAAUACGUUCCCGGAUCUUGUACUCACCGCCCGUCACACCAAGAGAGUUGGUAGCUCCUGAAGCGUCGCAUUAGCGGCACCACGGAGAGAUCAGCGAUAGGGGUGAAGUCGUAACAAGGUAACC